rnacentral:misc_RNA from 1 species
GCGGAGGGAUCAUUGCUGGAACGCGCCCCAGGCGCACCCAGAAACCCUUUGUGAACUUAUACCUUACUGUUGCCUCGGCGCAUGCUGGCCCCCUCGGGGCCCCCUGGAGACAGGGAGCAGGCACGCCGGCGGCCAAGUUAACUCUUGUUUUUACACUGAAACUCUGAGAAAAAACACAAAAUGAAUCAAA